CAUAGAAGCAUGUGCUUAGUGGUGUAGUGACUUAAAUAUCUUAAUGAUUCAGGUCUGUCUUCAGCUGCUGUGGCAGGAAUAUGUGUUGCUGUUGGUGUUGCUGUUGUUCUGUUGUUCGUGGCUGCAGCUGCUGCUGGUGUGAUUUACUACCGCAAGCGUCCUCAAGCAGGACAGAAUAUUCAAACAGACCCCACAGCACAAGCCAGUGAUCAGUUGGGUCGUUUACAA